AGAGUUUGAUCCUGGCUCAGGAUGAACGCUAGCUACAGGCUUAACACAUGCAAGUCGAGGGGCAGCAUCAUCAAAGCUUGCUUUGAUGGAUGGCGACCGGCGCACGGGUGAGUAACACGUAUCCAACCUGCCGACAACACUGGGAUAGCCUUUCGAAAGAAAGAUUAAUACCGGAUGGCAUAGUUUUCCCGCAUGGGAUAAUUAUUAAAGAAUUUCGGUUGUCGAUGGGGAUGCGUUCCAUUAGGCAGUUGGCGGGGUAACGGCCCACCAAACCUACGAUGGAUAGGGGUUCUGAGAGGAAGGUCCCCCACAUUGGAACUGAGACACGGUCCAAACUCCUACGGGAGGCAGCAGUGAGGAAUAUUGGUCAAUGGACGAGAGUCUGAACCAGCCAAGUAGCGUGAAGGAUGACUGCCCUAUGGGUUGUAAACUUCUUUUAUACGGGAAUAAAGUGAGCCACGUGUGGCUUUUUGUAUGUACCGUAUGAAUAAGGAUCGGCUAACUCCGUGCCAGCAGCCGCGGUAAUACGGAGGAUCCGAGCGUUAUCCGGAUUUAUUGGGUUUAAAGGGAGCGUAGGCGGGUUGUUAAGUCAGUUGUGAAAGUUUGCGGCUCAACCGUAAAAUUGCAGUUGAUACUGGCGACCUUGAGUGCAACAGAGGUAGGCGGAAUUCGUGGUGUAGCGGUGAAAUGCUUAGAUAUCACGAAGAACUCCGAUUGCGAAGGCAGCUUACUGGAUUGUAACUGACGCUGAUGCUCGAAAGUGUGGGUAUCAAACAGGAUUAGAUACCCUGGUAGUCCACACAGUAAACGAUGAAUACUCGCUGUUGGCGAUAUACAGUCAGCGGCCAAGCGAAAGCAUUAAGUAUUCCACCUGGGGAGUACGCCGGCAACGGUGAAACUCAAAGGAAUUGACGAGGGCCCGCACAAGCGGAGGAACAUGUGGUUUAAUUCGAUGAUACGCGAGGAACCUUACCCGGGCUUAAAUUGCAACUGACUGAACCGGAAACGGUUCUUUCUUCGGACAGUUGUGAAGGUGCUGCAUGGUUGUCGUCAGCUCGUGCCGUGAGGUGUCGGCUUAAGUGCCAUAACGAGCGCAACCCUUAUCGAUAGUUACUAGCAGGUCAUGCUGAGGACUCUAUUGAGACUGCCGUCGUAAGAUGUGAGGAAGGUGGGGAUGACGUCAAAUCAGCACGGCCCUUACGUCCGGGGCUACACACGUGUUACAAUGGGGGGUACAGAAGGCAGCUACACGGCGACGUGGUGCUAAUCCCGAAAGCCUCUCUCAGUUCGGAUUGGAGUCUGCAACCCGACUCCAUGAAGCUGGAUUCGCUAGUAAUCGCGCAUCAGCCACGGCGCGGUGAAUACGUUCCCGGGCCUUGCACACACCGCCCGUCA
rnacentral:rRNA from 1 species